GUUGGUGAACCAGCGGAGGGAUCAUUAAAGAGUUGCAAAACUCCCAAACCAUUGUGAACAUACCUUCAACGUUGCUUCGGCGGGUUGGCCCCGGUCUCCGGGGUCCCCGGCCCUACUCGGGCGCCCGCCGAAGACACCCUCGAACUCUGUCUGAAGAUUGUAGUCUGAGUGAAAAUAUAAAUUAUUUAAAACUUUCAACAACGGAUCUCUUGGUUCCG
rnacentral:misc_RNA from 1 species